CCUCGCGCCCGACGCAGAGUCGCUGUAAUGAAUGCUCGGGAAGUUAUGAAGAGAAAGGAGACGAUCCCAGUGAUUAAUGCCAAAGCCCUGUUGCCUGGGGAGAGGGUGAUGCUUGACUUUCUUGUACAGCUGCAGUUUGUGUGGUGAAGGUGCUCCCACAAUGUGGUUGGUUUCUUUAUCAAUUCUUGACAUGUUCUUCGUAUCAUCCACUGUGAAGACUGACUGCUGUGUACUCCUAUUCCUGAACCCUGCUGGAUAGGAAUAACUACGUUAGCAGAAC